AUGAACGUUAAUGAAGAAGACACGACAAGGAGAGACAUGUAUGCGCUUGUGAAAUGGUGUGCCGGGGUUGAUGAGGGGAAAUUUAGUAUUGUUCACAUUAAAUGCAUACGAAAUUUUGAUCUGGAAAGUUUUGUAAACGGCGUGAUUACAUACGAAGACGAAUUUGCCGUCGAGUGGGGUGUGGGAAAACGACCAAAAGGUGGAUUCCCCAUUUAUAUGGCUACCGUUCAAUCAGUUGGAGACAUGAAUACUUUGGAGCGAAAGUUGGACAAACGUUCAAAGAAAGAUUCCGAAGACAACGCCAUUGUGGGAAAGAGAAUCCGUGUUGCCAAACGUCUGUGGGAGGAUGAGGAUGAGGAUGACCCCCCUACUGCCGUGGCCACAGUCAGUGGAACCAAAGCUGCCAUUCACAAUCAAGGGGCUGAAAUCCUAGAUUCCAUUUCCUUGGAAGAACAAGCAGAAAAUAGUGACAACGAGCUCUCACUUGUGCGUCAAGAAUUGCUAGAAAUAAAAAAAUUCAUCUUUACAGAGAUACCUCAGAUAAAAGAAAUGCUCAACAGAAGCUCCAUGCACCUCGGCAGUCCAGGGUCUCUCCCCAGCCCUUCAAACCCUGUUCAAAUAGAAGAAAUUGUCCCAGGUUCAGGUGUUUACGUAUCACGAAGUGUGUGGCGCUCUGCUUGCCAGGCAUCUAGUGGGACUUCAAUGGCAAGGAUUUUGCUGCUUGGGGUGUUUGACAUUGAAACACUCAUCAAAAGUAAUUUGAGAGGAGGGGAAUCCAAGGUUUCAAAGGGGGGAGAUGGGGAGAAAAGAAGCGCCCUGGAUGAAAUAAAAGUGAUUUUGCUAUUUGACAUCAUCUGCCACAGGUCUGUAUGUAUAGUGUUGUGAGCCUUGACUCAGUCAGAUCUCCUCAAGAACAACUUGGGGUUAAGUGCGUUGCUCAAGGGCACAACGGUGGUGAACGGGAUUCGAACUCCAAAUUCCAGGCUACUAGCAUACAAGCCAGGUUCCUUUACUGCUGUGCUACCACCACCCCUUUUGGCUUCGUGCCUGCAUCUGAACCACACCCAUAGAAAUAUUUGCAAAAAAAUGGACAAUCAUAUUAGCAAUAAAGCAAUAAAGGAGCAAUAAAGAUUUUUGUCUUUAAUUUUUGACCAGUGUUUUGUCUGCUUUAUACCUAAAACUUUUUUUCUUUAAAAUCUACCUUUUCAGAUGCUGUUAUGUCAAGACACUCAGUUUCGACUGGCCAGAUCGGAGCAGCCCUGAAUGAGAAGAUGGCAGAACUAAGACUGGCAAUGUCCAGGAAAAAUGUUCAUUAAAAAUGAGUGUUUCCCGAGUGAGUCAAAAAUCAGAAGUUGAAAUUAAAAAGUUUUUACUUGAAAAGUUUGUAUACUGAACAAAAUGCAUUAAAGUUUUUAUUUGAAAAGACCUGGAAUUGUGUGUUCUGAACAAAAUGCAUUAAAGUUUCUAUUUGAAAAGACCUGGAAUUGUGUGUUCUGU
rnacentral:lncRNA from 1 species